GUUUUGAUACGUGAGAGAUUUGUGAUGUUUAUCAUGUUUGGAGUCUCAAGUUAGUGUGUUUUCUUGUGUAGUUAGUGUGUAGUGUAGUCGUUUUGUUUUGCGUGUCAGUUCUACUAGUGAACGUCACAGUUGCUGCAACUGUGUGCUGGAAAAGCUUAAAAAGGGACCUUGAAAGUGCUUAAAAAGUGCUUGAAUUUGACCCUGAAGAAAGCGUACGAACCCUGGAUUAUGGAUUCACUGUGAUUCACGUAUUUAAAUGUAUGGCAGCAUACACAAAUCCUGACAGGAGUAACCUUCUCCACAUUGGAGAAGGUUGGAGUGGGCCAGUUGGAGUCGCGGCUACACCAGCUGCUAUGAUGAGAGCGGACCACAGAGACUUCAAAAAGAAUGGCAGGGCUGUGAUCUGCGGGAUCCCUGGCACCCCUGCGAAACAUCAGCCAUCAUCGGCUGGGGCUUUUAAGGAGCUGUGCAGAAGAUGUCUGGUGUCGGAGUAUUGUUUCAUCGCAAGUGCCAGCCUUGCUUCUCUGAUCAGCCCCAUGUCCUCUAAGGAUCAUCUCCAUCUGGACUCCAACUUUUCUCCUUUACCUUUGCCACAGCCUGCCUGCACUCAACCCUCCUCAGACCUUUGGCUCCUCAUCGCCCCCAGUAAUCAGUUCGUGACAAUUUCACCAACUGGAUAGGUGGGGCAAUAAUUCACUUCUCCACCUCUUCAGAAGGUAGAGGGCUACAGGGGUGGCUGUAGCUCAGGUGGUAGAGCAGGUCAUCUGCUAAUUGGAAGGUUGGUUGUUCCAUCCCUGGCUGCUCCAGUCUACUUGACACAUAUCCUUGUGUCCUUGUGCAAGAUGAUGCAGGAGGAUAUUUGUGGCAUCAGCUGAGUAAAGAUGGAGCAGUGAGUCACCAGGCUGGGCAGGUGCAAUUGAGCUGAUGAUGACCUUGAUGGUACUUUGGUCCUGGAUGUCCGGCAUUGACUCCAAGUUGGUGAAUUUAUUCUCAAACUCUGCAUCCAUGAACUAAAGCCCGAAGUCCCCAUUAACUGCACACUGUCCCUUUAUCUGCUGAACAAGUUCCCUGAUAGACUUUGAUCUUUCCAAAUGGGAUGCCAAUCUCCACGAAUCAUUUUCACCAAGAAUGAUUCUGAGUUUCACCACAGCAGCCAUUUCACAACAGCCUAAGAGAAGAAAUUAAGACGUUAACUGUUGUACAAGAGCAAAUCUGAUUUCAGCAAAGCAAUUAGAACAGAAAUAUGUAAUGAUGUCUCAAUUUAAAUGACUGUGAAAUAAAAAAU
ensembl:lncRNA